rnacentral:rRNA from 1 species
UCGGGAAUAUUGCGCAAUGGAGGAAACUCUGACGCAGUGACGCCGCGUGCAGGAAGAAGGUUUUCGGAUUGUAAACUGCUUUAGACAGGGAAGAAUAAAGACAGUACCUGUAGAAUAAGCUCCGGCUAACUACGUGCCAGCAGCCGCGGUAAUACGUAGGGAGCAAGCGUUAUCCGGAUUUAUUGGGUGUAAAGGGUGCGUAGACGGGAAAACAAGUUAGUUGUGAAAUCCCUCGGCUUAACUGAGGAACUGCAACUAAAACUAUUUUUCUUGAGUGUUGGAGAGGAAAGUGGAAUUCCUAGUGUAGCGGUGAAAAUGCGUAGAUAUUAGGAGGAACACCGGUGGCGAAGGCGACCUUCUGGACAAUAACUGACGUUGAGGCACGAAAAGUGUGGGGAGCAAACAGGAUUAGAUACC